UAAGGAAUAUUGCUUAAUGGGAGAAAUCCUGAAGCAGCAACGCCGCGUGGAGGAUGAAGGGUCUAUGACUUGUAAACUCCUGUAAAGAAGGAAAAAAUUCCCAUUUGAUGGGAGAUGAUGGUACUUCUGGAGUAAGCCCCGGCUAACUACGUGCCAGCAGCCGCGGCAAUACGUAGGGGGCAAGCAUUGUCCGGAUUUACUGGGUGUAAGGGUGCUCAGGCGGAUUUGUAAGUCAGAGGUGAAAUCUUACAGCUUAACUGUGAAACUGCCUUUGAUACUGCAAGCCUAAAGUAUGGAAGAGAGUGAUGGAAUAUCUGGUGUAGCAGUGAAAUGCGUAGAUAUCAGAUAGAACACCAAUGGCGAAGGCAGUCACUUGGUCCAUUACUGACGCUAAAGCACGAAAGCGUGGGUAGCAAACA
rnacentral:rRNA from 1 species